GACGAACGCUGGCGGCGUGCUUAACACAUGCAAGUCGAACGGAAAGGCCCUGCUUUUGUGGGGUGCUCGAGUGGCGAACGGGUGAGUAACACGUGAGUAACCUGCCCUUGACUUUGGGAUAACUUCAGGAAACUGGGGCUAAUACCGGAUAGGAGCUCCUGCUGCAUGGUGGUGGUUGGAAAGUUUCGGCGGUUGGGGAUGGACUCGCGGCUUAUCAGCUUGUUGGUGGGGUAGUGGCUUACCAAGGCUUUGACGGGUAGCCGGCCUGAGAGGGUGACCGGCCACAUUGGGACUGAGAGACGGCCCAGACUCCUACGGGAGGCAGCAGUGGGGAAUAUGGCACAAUGGGCGGAAGCCUGAUGCAGCAACGCCGCGUGCGGGAUGACGGCCUUCGGGUUGUAAACCGCUUUCGCCUGUGACGAAGCGUGAGUGACGGUAAUGGGUAAAGAAGCACCGGCUAACUACGUG
rnacentral:rRNA from 1 species